GAGUAUCAUGCCCUUCUGGGUAGAUCUCCACCCUUGAAUAACAUACCUUUGUUGCUUUGGCAGGACGCACUCGUGCCAGGGGCUUCGGCUCUUGAGUGCCUGCCAGAGGACCACAACUCUUGUUUUUAGUGAUGUCUGAGUAAAAUUUUAAUAUUUAAAACUUUCAACAACGGAUCUCUUGGCUCU
rnacentral:misc_RNA from 1 species